AACGAACGCUGGCGGCGUGCCUAACACAUGCAAGUCGAACGAGAAAGGUCGCAAGACUGAGUACAGUGGCGCACGGGUGAGUAAUACAUAGGAAUCUUCCCUUUAGUGAAGAAUACCCUGGAGAAAUCCAGGCUAAUACUGCAUAAGCCCAGAAAUGGGGAAAGGUGGCCUCAAGCUACCGCUGAAGGAUGAGCCUGUGUCCUAUUAGUUAGUUGGCAGGGUAAUGGCCUACCAAGACAAAGAUGGGUAUCCGGCCUGAGAGGGUGUACGGACACACUGGAACUGAAACAGGUCCAGACUCCUACGGGAGGCAGCAGUGGGAAUAUUGCACAAUGGGCGCAAGCCUGAUGCAGCGACGCCGCGUGGAGGAUGACGGUCUUCGGAUUGUAAACUCCUGUUAAGUGGGAAGAAGACCAGUAUCUAAUACAUGCUGGGGAUGACGGUACCACUAGAGAAAGCACCGGCAAACUUCGUGCCAGCAGCCGCGGUAA
rnacentral:rRNA from 1 species